ACUUGCAGUGUAAACGCAGCCUGAGUCGAGUCUCAAGUCAUUUAAUGGCUCACUAAAAAAAUUCCAUUCAGAAUCCUCAUGUUUUGAAAUCGUCCUAUUUACGAAUCUUAGACAAACUAUAAUAUAUUUUUAUUAAUAAUGUAUGAUAUGACUUGAGGCGGUUUCCCGGACAGGGUUUAAAUUAAGACAGGAAUAGGCCUUAAUCUAGAAUAGUUAAUCAUGGUUUUAAAAAUGGCUUUCUGAUUCACAGAUUAAGUACAGAUUACUAACACCUGGACUAUGGAGUCCUGAACUAAAAUAAACUUGAUUCAUUUAAAACCACCUGUGCAAAUCAGAACUAGCUGAAUUGAGGUUGCCUAUAAAACAUGGAAUGAACCAAGAAAAGUUUAGAAUUGUAUGCAACUGAGAAGCAAAUGGCAAUGACAGCUGAAAAGAGAGUGCGAUCAAAUAACUUUUCUGAACAUGAGAAAAGUAUUAUAAAGCAAAUAGUUUCAAGACCUCCUGUUACUGAAGAUAAACUGCGCACAUCAGCUGUUGAAUCAAAGAAAAGGGAUGCCUGGAAAUCUAUUUGUAAUGAAUUUAAUGCAAAUCAACACAUCUACAAGAACAAUACAACAACUUCAGGUAAGAAUAAUCAGCUUUAUUAUGUGGCUUUUUUUUUAAUCACUGUUGUCAUUAUUUAAUACAGGUUUUGUGGAAGAAUAUAAAAAUAAACCUAAAAAAAAACUGCUGCUGAAGCUCGAAGAGAGAGGUUUAAGACUGGUGGAGGACCUGCAAAUAAAGACUGUGACUAGUUGGAUGAGUUACUGACAGGAAUAAUGGAGAACCAGCAGCCUUUGGAGAACACACCAGGUGAUGACCAUCUAGAUAGUUCAGAUGAUGGAUCACACGCACCUAAGAGAAGGUCAGAACAGAACUGAAGAGAUGGAAGGCAGUUUACCCUCCACAUCCUCAGGAGCAUGGGUGGCAAUGUCUGCUAGUACUGGUCACCAGAAGAAAAGACUCCCUGUCCAUGAAAGGUUGGCUAAUGAAUUCCAUGAACACAAGUUGAAGUAUCUUAAGGAGGAGCAUGAAAUUAAGAUGAAGAUACUACAAGUAGAACUGGAGCUGAAGAUGGAGGAGAGAGAUGCAGCAGGCUCAAAAUGUUACAUCAAUACAUGUAUUUGUGAAAUAAAUAUUGUUUUAUUAAGUCAAGAUGGAAAUGAUGGUUUCAUAACAUAUCAGACAAAAUAUAAUUAUACUUUUAACAUAUUUUAUUUGCUCAUUACAUGUAUCAGAUCUAAGCAGAAGGUUGAAAGGUAAAUAUCUAUUUAAUGUGGCACAAUGCAAAAAACAUGUCUGUAUGCAAGUCCUUCUCUGAGGUCUGUUGUAAAUGGUGGCACAUCUGGAUUUUCAUCCUCUUCUGUUGGGGGAUCUGGGCAUCCCUGCUGUUUCAGGUAGUUGUGAAGAACAGUUGUUGCAAUGAUGACUGAAUGAUCUUCUUGGUUUGAAUCGGAGUGUUUUCCGAAGACACUGAAAGCGACUCUUCCAAACACCAAACAUGCGCUCUACUAAACCCCUUGUGCUAUAUGAACCUGGUUGUAGUGCCGUUGUUCAGCCGUUUCUUCUGCGCAUACCCACUGUGACCAAGCAGUAUUCCAUCAUGAUCUCCUCUUUCAAACUGAGUAUACAGAUAUGAGUUGAGGAAAAUUCGGGAAUCAUGAGUUGCACCUUUCCAAUGUGCAACAAUGUUUGAGAACUGUAACUGGGGAGUGCAUACACCUUGGACAUUUAUGGAAAACCAAUUCUUUCGGUUCCUUAUUCCUCAGCAUCUGGAGUAGGGGGACGCUUAAUGGGAAUAUGGGUUCCAUCUAUGCAACCUAUGACUCCUGGGAAAUUUCCAUAUUCAUAGAAUAGUACCUUGUAGUUAGCCUGGGUUGUAGCAUCAGGGAAGUUGAUGUAAUAUGGUCUUAAUUCAUAAAUGGCCCUGCAUACUCGGUGAA